CAUUUCUUAGCAUUUGCACAUUUGUUGCUUAAUGUUGUUUUGGAAUAAGGCAUAUUUUAAAACCAUCAUGACCCAUCCUUAGUACAGUACAAUUGAUCUUUACUUUUUCAAAGUUAAGUUUAGAGUAAAAUUUGGAGUGAUGAGCCCUGAGGACAGAAAUCAAAGAUCAGUUUGUACUUCCACUGUAGACUGUUACCUCAGACCUGCUUUAAGCUUAUGGAAUUUCCUGUUUUGAAAAAGCAAUCGGAGACUUGGAAAAAGGAAGAGCUACAACGUGUCCAGGUUGAAAUGUGCUAUGGACAAUUAAAUUGUUCUCAAAAAUUCAUAACGUUGGAGAGGUAGUACAAAAUUUCCUCAGUAGUGGAACUGCUCUUUGUCUUUUCUGGUGUUUACAUUGAUCUCAGUCCAAAAAAGGGUGAAAAUGAAUAGUAACAAUGAAUCAGAAUCCUGAAAUUCUAGAACCCAAAUCACAUAAUUUUCUGACACUCUCUCUCUUCUGUCAUUCUCAGUUUGGCGUCUGUGGCCACAUCUGUGAAAACUUUUCUGAGCAAAUAUUUGGAACAAAUGUCAGUAUGCAUCCCUUCACAAGAAAAGGCCUCUGUAAUAAACCUAAAGCUUUAUUUGCCUCAGCUGAAGAGAAACAUUCCAGCAAGACUUACGUUCCCUCCUCCUUCAGUACCGGCGCUGGGCAGAGCAGCUAAGCCAGAAACCAACCAAAGGUCACCGGCAUGAAAGCUGGACCGGCGUGGAAAUCUGGAAUCUUGACACAAAUAAAGCUGACAGACUCACAGCAGCUUCAUCAGGAUUCUUCCCUCCGUUGAAAACACUAUGAAGGACAUGCGGAGCUGGGGGCUGAAGAAAGAGCAUAAGAGUAAGC